rnacentral:tRNA from 1 species
GGGCUGUUAGCUCAGCUAGGUAGAGCAGAUGACUCUUAAUCAUCGGGCCGGGGGUUCGAUUCCCUCACAGCCCACCA